GCGGAAGGCCACUUCGGUGGUACUCGAGCGGCGAACGGGUGAGUAACACGUGAGUAAUCUGCCCUUGGCUUCGGGAUAGCCACCGGAAACGGUGAUUAAUACCGGAUAUGACCGUCUGCCGCAUGGUGGGUGGUGGAAAGUUUUUUCGGCCAGGGAUGUGCUCGCGGCCUAUCAGCUUGAUGGUGAGGUAAUGGCUCACCAUGGCUUCGACGGGUAGCCGGCCUGAGAGGGUGACCGGUCACACUGGGACUGAGACACGGCCCAGACUCCUACGGGAGGCAGCAGUGGGGAAUAUUGGACAAUGGGCGGAAGCCUGAUCCAGCAACGCCGCGUGAGGGAUGACGGCCUUCGGGUUGUAAACCUCUUUCAGCAGGGACGAAGCGCAAGUGACGGUACCUGCAGAAGAAGCACCGGCCAACUACGUGCCAGCAGCCGCGGUAAUACGUAGGGUGCGAGCGUUGUCCGGAAUUAUUGGGCGUAAAGGGCUCGUAGGCGGUUUGUCGCGUCGGGAGUGAAAACCAGGUGCUUAACACCUGGCUUGCUUUCGAUACGGGCAGACUAGAGGUAUUCAGGGGAGAACGGAAUUCCUGGUGUAGCGGUGAAAUGCGCAGAUAUCAGGAGGAACACCGGUGGCGAAGGCGGUUCUCUGGGAAUGACCUGACGCUGAGGAGCGAAAGUGUGGGGAGCGAACAGGAUUAGAUACCCUGGUAGUCCACACCGUAAACGUUGGGCGCUAGGUGUGGGGUCCAUUCCACGGAUUCCGUGCCGCAGCUAACGCAUUAAGCGCCCCGCCU
rnacentral:rRNA from 1 species